rnacentral:rRNA from 1 species
GAUGAACGCUGGCGGUCUGCUUAACACAUGCAAGUCGAACGAACUCUUCGGAGUGAGUGGCGGACGGGUGAGUAACGCGUGGGAACGUGCCCUUCACUAAGGAAUAGCCACUGGAAACGGUGAGUAAUACCUUAUACGCCCUUCGGGGGAAAGGAUUAUCGGUGAAGGAUCGGCCCGCGUUAGAUUAGGUAGUUGGUGGGGUAACGGCCUACCAAGCCUACGAUCUAUAGCUGGUUUUAGAGGAUGAUCAGCAACACUGGGACUGAGACACGGCCCAGACUCCUACGGGAGGCAGCAGUGGGGAAGUCUUAGACAAUGGGGGCAACCCUGAUCUAGCCAUGCCGCGUGAGUGAUGAAGG